rnacentral:miRNA from 1 species
ACGCGGGGUUCUCUGGAAGCGGCUUCUCCGCUCUGAGCUUUCUGGUGGGCCUCGGGGUCC